UUUCCGUAGGUGAACCUGCGGAAGGAUCAUUGUCGAAAACUAGUAGAACGUCGAUGGACAUGAGGACUGGUUGGGACCCGCACAGGGGUGCGUGGGGGAUGGCCCCCCCCCCCAUGACACCCCCAUAGACGAUGCCUGCAUGCCUCGGUGGGCUGCAUGAGAACAUCGAUCAUACCCUUACAUCGGCACGGGAUGUGCCAAGGUAACUGGAUUGGAAGAGCUCCCUAUGGUCGUGCACGAUGUGUGCGUGGGAACCAUGGAGGUGGCCUGUGGAAACUAGGUACAAUGACUCUCGACAAUGGAUAUCUCGGCUCCCGUGUCGAUGAAGAACGCGGCGAAAUGCGAUACAUGGUGUGAAUUGCAGAAUCUCGUGAAUCAUUGAGUUUUUGAACGCAAGUUGCGCCCGAGGCCAUUUUCUGGUCGAGGGCACGCCUGCCUGGGUGCCUUGCAUGGAGUUGCCCUCAGACCUCCCUCGUCAGGUGUCCCCUUUAUUUGGUAGAUGUUUUCCCGGAGGUGCUGUGGGGUAGAUGGUGGCCUCCCGUUCCGUGUUGUGCGGUUGGCUUAAUUUCGUGGUCCUUGGUGGCAUGUGGCUCGACGAGUUGUGGCCAAUGACGUUAGUCUCAUGUCGGUGAGUGACCCCUUGCGGUCCCAUAGAUUCGUCGACACUUAGACGGAGUAAAUAUACCGACCCC
rnacentral:misc_RNA from 1 species